rnacentral:rRNA from 1 species
CGGGAGGCCACAGUGGGGAAUCUUGCACAAUGGGGUCACCCCUGAUGCAGCCAUGCCGCGUGGAGGAAGACACCCCUAUGGGGCGUAAACUCCUUUUCUGAGAGAAGAACCCCCUGUAGGUUCAGGGUGUGACGGUAUCUCAGGAAUAAGCACCGGCUAUCUCCGUGCCAGCAGCCGCGGUAAUACGGAGGGUGCAAGCGUUGUCCGGAAUCACUGGGCGUAAAGGGUGCGCAGGCGGGGCAGCAAGUCGGAGGUGAAAGCCUGUGGCUCAACCACGGAAGUGCCUUCGAAACUGUUGCUCUUGAGUCCCGGAGAGGUUGCCGGAAUUCGUGGUGUAGCGGUGAAAUGCGUAGAUAUCACGAGGAACACCAGAGGCGAAAGCGGGCAACUGGACGGGUACUGACGCUCAGGCACGAAAGCGCGGGGAGCAAACAGGAUUAGAUACCCUGGUAGUCCGCGCCGUAAACGAUGAAUGCUUCGCCGUUAUUCCGCUUAAGGAAUAGUGGCUAAGCUAACGCGUU